rnacentral:rRNA from 1 species
ACGGGAGGCAGCAGUGGGGAAUAUUGCACAAUGGAGGAAACUCUGAUGCAGCGAUGCCGCGUGAGGGAAGAAGGUUUUCGGAUUGUAAACCUCUGUCUUCAGGGACGAUAAUGACGGUACCUGAGGAGGAAGCUCCGGCUAACUACGUGCCAGCAGCCGCGGUAAUACGUAGGGAGCAAGCGUUGUCCGGAAUUACUGGGUGUAAAGGGAGUGCAGGCGGGAUGGUAAGUUAGAUGUGAAAACUAUGGGCUUAACCCAUAGACUGCAUUUAAAACUGCUGUUCUUGAGUGAAGUAGAGGUUGGCGGAAUUCCCAGUGUAGCGGUGAAAUGCGUAGAUAUUGGGAGGAACAUCAGUGGCGAAGGCGGCCAACUGGGCUUUUACUGACGCUGAGGCUCGAAAGCGUGGGGAGCAAACAGGAUUAGAUACCCUGGUA